rnacentral:rRNA from 1 species
CGCGUAGGCGGUCCGAUAAGUCCCGUGUGAAAUCCCUCGGCUCAACUGAGGAAUGGCACGGGAAACUGACGGGCUUGAGUUCGGGAGAGGGAAGCGGAAUUCCGGGUGUAGCGGUGAAAUGCGUAGAUAUCCGGAGGAACACCGGUGGCGAAGGCGGCUUCCUGGACCGACACUGACGCUGAGGCGCGAAAGCUAGGGGAGCAAAACG